rnacentral:rRNA from 1 species
UACGUAGGGUGCGAGCGUUGUCCGGAAUUAUUGGGCGUAAAGAGCUCGUAGGCGGUUUGUCACGUCUGCUGUGAAAUCCCGAGGCUCAACCUCGGGCCUGCAGUGGGUACGGGCAGACUGGAGUGCGGUAGGGGAGAAUGGAAUUCCUGGUGUAGCGGUGGAAUGCGCAGAUAUCAGGAGGAACACCGGUGGCGAAGGCGGAUCUCUGGGCCUUGCCUGACGCUGAGGCGCGAAAGCUAGGGGAGCGAACAGG